GCCUAGCUGGCUCAGUCAGUAGAGCAUGUGACUCUUGAUCUCAGGGUCAUGAGUUCAAGGCCCACGCUGGGUG
rnacentral:tRNA from 1 species